AGAGUUUGAUUCUGGCUCAGGAUGAACGCUGGCGGCGUGCUUAACUCAUGCAAGUCGAACGAAGCGAUUCAGAGGAAGUUUUCGGAUGGAAUCUGAAUUGACUGAGUGGCGGACGGGUGAGUAACGCGUGGGUAACCUGCCUCACACAGGGGGACAACAGUUAGAAAUGGCUGCUAAUACCGCAUAAGCGCACAGCUUCGCAUGAAGCAGUGUGAAAAACUCCGGUGGUGUGAGAUGGACCCGCGUCUGAUUAGGUAGUUGGUGGGGUAACGGCCUACCAAGCCGACGAUCAGUAGCCGACCUGAGAGGGUGACCGGCCACAUUGGGACUGAGGCACGGCCCAA
rnacentral:rRNA from 1 species